rnacentral:rRNA from 1 species
GGGUUGUGAGGUUAAGCGACUAAGCGUACACGGUGGAUGCCCUGGCAGUCAGAGGCGAUGAAGGACGUGCUAAUCUGCGAUAAGCGUCGGUAAGGUGAUAUGAACCGUUAUAACCGGCGAUUUCCGAAUGGGGAAACCCAGUGUGAUUCGUCACACUAUCAUUAACUGAAUCCAUAGGUUAAUGAGGCGAACCGGGGGAACUGAAACAUCUAAGUACCCCGAGGAAAAGAAAUCAACCGAGAUUCCCCCAGUAGCGGCGAGCGAACGGGGAGCAGCCCAGAGCCUGAAUCAGUGUGUGUGUUAGUGGAAGCGUCUGGAAAGGCGCGCGAUACAGGGUGACAGCCCCGUACACAAAAAUGCACAUGCUGUGAGCUCGAUGAGUAGGGCGGGACACGUGGUAUCCUGUCUGAAUAUGGGGGGACCAUCCUCCAAGGCUAAAUACUCCUGACUGACCGAUAGUGAACCAGUACCGUGAGGGAAAGGCGAAAAGAACCCCGGCGAGGGGAGUGAAAAAGAACCUGAAACCGUGUACGUACAAGCAGUGGGAGCACGCUUAGGCGUGUGACUGCGUACCUUUUGUAUAAUGGGUCAGCGACUUAUAUUCUGUAGCAAGGUUAACCGAAUAGGGGAGCCGAAGGGAAACCGAGUCUUAACUGGGCGUUAAGUUGCAGGGUAUAGACCCGAAACCCGGUGAUCUAGCCAUGGGCAGGUUGAAGGUUGGGUAACACUAACUGGAGGACCGAACCGACUAAUGUUGAAAAAUUAGCGGAUGACUUGUGGCUGGGGGUGAAAGGCCAAUCAAACCGGGAGAUAGCUGGUUCUCCCCGAAAGCUAUUUAGGUAGCGCCUCGUGAAUUCAUCUCCGGGGGUAGAGCACUGUUUCGGCAAGGGGGUCAUCCCGACUUACCAACCCGAUGCAAACUGCGAAUACCGGAGAAUGUUAUCACGGGAGACACACGGCGGGUGCUAACGUCCGUCGUGAAGAGGGAAACAACCCAGACCGCCAGCUAAGGUCCCAAAGUCAUGGUUAAGUGGGAAACGAUGUGGGAAGGCCCAGACAGCCAGGAUGUUGGCUUAGAAGCAGCCAUCAUUUAAAGAAAGCGUAAUAGCUCACUGGUCGAGUCGGCCUGCGCGGAAGAUGUAACGGGGCUAAACCAUGCACCGAAGCUGCGGCAGCGACGCUGAUGCGUUGUUGGGUAGGGGAGCGUUCUGUAAGCCUGCGAAGGUGUGCUGUGAGGCAUGCUGGAGGUAUCAGAAGUGCGAAUGCUGACAUAAGUAACGAUAAAGCGGGUGAAAAGCCCGCUCGCCGGAAGACCAAGGGUUCCUGUCCAACGUUAAUCGGGGCAGGGUGAGUCGACCCCUAAGGCGAGGCCGAAAGGCGUAGUCGAUGGGAAACAGGUUAAUAUUCCUGUACUUGGUGUUACUGCGAAGGGGGGACGGAGAAGGCUAUGUUGGCCGGGCGACGGUUGUCCCGGUUUAAGCGUGUAGGCUGGUUUUCCAGGCAAAUCCGGAAAAUCAAGGCUGAGGCGUGAUGACGAGGCACUACGGUGCUGAAGCAACAAAUGCCCUGCUUCCAGGAAAAGCCUCUAAGCAUCAGGUAACAUCAAAUCGUACCCCAAACCGACACAGGUGGUCAGGUAGAGAAUACCAAGGCGCUUGAGAGAACUCGGGUGAAGGAACUAGGCAAAAUGGUGCCGUAACUUCGGGAGAAGGCACGCUGAUAUGUAGGUGAAGUCCCUCGCGGAUGGAGCUGAAAUCAGUCGAAGAUACCAGCUGGCUGCAACUGUUUAUUAAAAACACAGCACUGUGCAAACACGAAAGUGGACGUAUACGGUGUGACGCCUGCCCGGUGCCGGAAGGUUAAUUGAUGGGGUUAGCGCAAGCGAAGCUCUUGAUCGAAGCCCCGGUAAACGGCGGCCGUAACUAUAACGGUCCUAAGGUAGCGAAAUUCCUUGUCGGGUAAGUUCCGACCUGCACGAAUGGCGUAAUGAUGGCCAGGCUGUCUCCACCCGAGACUCAGUGAAAUUGAACUCGCUGUGAAGAUGCAGUGUACCCGCGGCAAGACGGAAAGACCCCGUGAACCUUUACUAUAGCUUGACACUGAACAUUGAGCCUUGAUGUGUAGGAUAGGUGGGAGGCUUUGAAGUGUGGACGCCAGUCUGCAUGGAGCCGACCUUGAAAUACCACCCUUUAAUGUUUGAUGUUCUAACGUGGACCCGUAAUCCGGGUUGCGGACAGUGUCUGGUGGGUAGUUUGACUGGGGCGGUCUCCUCCUAAAGAGUAACGGAGGAGCACGAAGGUUGGCUAAUCCUGGUCGGACAUCAGGAGGUUAGUGCAAUGGCAUAAGCCAGCUUGACUGCGAGCGUGACGGCGCGAGCAGGUGCGAAAGCAGGUCAUAGUGAUCCGGUGGUUCUGAAUGGAAGGGCCAUCGCUCAACGGAUAAAAGGUACUCCGGGGAUAACAGGCUGAUACCGCCCAAGAGUUCAUAUCGACGGCGGUGUUUGGCACCUCGAUGUCGGCUCAUCACAUCCUGGGGCUGAAGUAGGUCCCAAGGGUAUGGCUGUUCGCCAUUUAAAGUGGUACGCGAGCUGGGUUUAGAACGUCGUGAGACAGUUCGGUCCCUAUCUGCCGUGGGCGCUGGAGAAUUGAGGGGGGCUGCUCCUAGUACGAGAGGACCGGAGUGGACGCAUCACUGGUGUUCGGGUUGUCAUGCCAAUGGCACUGCCCGGUAGCUAAAUGCGGAAGAGAUAAGUGCUGAAAGCAUCUAAGCACGAAACUUGCCCCGAGAUGAGUUCUCCCUGACUCCUUGAGAGUCCUGAAGGAACGUUGAAGACGACGACGUUGAUAGGCCGGGUGUGUAAGCGCAGCGAUGCGUUGAGCUAACCGGUACUAAUGAACCGUGAGGCUUAAC